UACGGGGGGAGCAAGCGUUGUUCGGAUUUACUGGGCGUAAAGGGCGCGUAGGCGGCCAGCACAAGUCAGUUGUGAAAUCUCCGAGCUUAACUCGGAAAGGUCAACUGAUACUGUGCGGCUAGAGUGCAGAAGGGGCAACUGGAAUUCUUGGUGUAGCGGUGAAAUGCGUAGAUAUCAAGAGGAACACCGGUGGCGAAGGCGGGUCUCUAGGCCGAUACUGACGCUGAGGAGCGAAAGCGUGGGGAGCGAACAGG
rnacentral:rRNA from 1 species